rnacentral:rRNA from 1 species
GGGGGGGGGGGGGGGGGGGGGGGGGGGGGGGGGGGCGGGCGGGAGGGCGCCGUGGGGGGGGGUGGAGGGGGGGAGGGGGGGGGAACAGGGGAGGAACCGGCCCUUGACUUCGGGAGAGCUUCAGGAAACUGGGGCGAAUACCGGGGAGGAAUCCUUGCUGCAUGGUGGGGGGUGGAAAGCUUCGGCGGGUGUGGAUGGACCGGAGGCUUAUCCGCUCGUUGGGGGGGUAGGUGCUUACCAAGGCUUUGACGGGGAGCCGGCCUGAGAGUGCGACCGGCCCCAUUGAUACUGAGAUACGGCCCAGACUCCUACGGGAGGCAGCAGUGGGGAAUAUUGAACAAUGGGCGGAAGCCUGAUGCAGCAACGCCGCGGGCGGGAUGACGGCCUUCGGGUUGUAAACCGCUUUCAGCAGGGGCGAAGCUUGUGGUGACGGUACCUGCAGAAGAAGCACCGGCUAACUACGUG